rnacentral:rRNA from 1 species
AACGAACGCUGGCGGCGUGGAUAAGACAUGCAAGUGGGACGCUAAUCAAUGGGUAGCAAUAUUCGUUGGUUGGAGUCGCGUAAGGGUGCGUAACACGUGGGUAAUUUGCCGCGAAGUUUGAAAUAACUUGCCGAAAGGUAAGCUAAUGUCAAAUGUGACACUCAGCAGGCAUCUGUUGAGUGUCAAAGCCGGGGACCGUAAGGCCUGGCGCUUCGCGAUAAGCCCGCGGCCUAUCAGCUAGUUGGUGGGGUAACGGCUCACCAAGGCUUAGACGGGUAGCUGGUCUUAGAGGACGACCAGCCACACUGGAACUGAGACACGGUCCAGACACCUACGGGUGGCAG